rnacentral:pre_miRNA from 1 species
GAAAAAAAAUCUAUUAUCCGGCGGCCUUGGAUGGGUUUGAAUUCAGUCCACGUUUUUUUAUUUUAUUCGUGACUAGAUCCACACUCAUCCAAGGAUACCGGGGUUUAUA